rnacentral:rRNA from 1 species
UACGUAGGGCGCAAGCGUUGUCCGGAAUUAUUGGGCGUAAAGAGCUCGUAGGCGGCUUGUCACGUCGGGUGUGAAAGCCCGGGGCUUAACCCCGGGUCUGCAUUCGAUACGGGCUAGCUAGAGUGUGGUAGGGGAGAUCGGAAUUCCUGGUGUAGCGGUGAAAUGCGCAGAUAUCAGGAGGAACACCAGCGGCGAAGGCGGCUUCUGGUCCGAUACUGACGCUGAGGUGCGAAAGCGUGGGGAGCGAUCGG